CCUACGGGGGGCAGCAGUGGGGAAUAUUGCGCAAUGGGCGAAAGCCUGACGCAGCGACGCCGCGUGAGGGAUGAAGGUCUUCGGAUCGUAAACCUCUGUCAGCAGGGAAGAACGGUCACUGUGCUAAUCAGCAGUGAAUUGACGGUACCUGCAAAGGAAGCACCGGCUAACUCCGUGCCAGCAGCCGCGGUAAUACGGAGGGUGCGAGCGUUAAUCGGAAUUACUGGGCGUAAAGCGCUCGUAGGCGGUAUGUCAAGUCAAGGGUGAAAUCCCCGCGCUCAACGUGGGAACUGCCUUUGAAACUGGCAAACUGGAGUGUGUGAGAGGAUAGUGGAAUUCCUGGUGUAGGGGUGAAAUGCGUAGAUAUCUGGAGGAACAUCGGUGGCGAAGGCGACUAUCUGGCACAUAACUGACGCUGAGGAGCGAAAGCGUGGGUAGCAAACAGGAUUAGAUACCCUAGUAGUC
rnacentral:rRNA from 1 species